UGAGCAAUCUGCCCUUCACAUCGGGAAUAACCAUUGGAAACGAUGGCUAAUACCGAAUAUGACUUCGGAUCGCAUGAUCUGAAGUGGAAAGCUCCGGCGGUGAAGGAUGAGCUCGCGGCCUAUCAGCUUGUUGGUGAGGUAAUAGCUCACCAAGGCGAUGGACGGGUAGCCGGCCUGAGAGGGUGAUCGGCCACACGUGGGACAGAGACCAGCCCAA
rnacentral:rRNA from 1 species